AUGACUCUCGCGAACGGAUAUCUCGGCUCUCGUAUCAAUGAAGAACGUAGAAAAAUGCGAUACUUGGUGUGAAUUGCAGAAUCCCGUGAACCAUCGUGUCUUUGAACACAAGUUGCACCCGAGCCCACCUGGCCAAGGGCACGCAUGCCAGGACAUCACAAGAACGAGUUGCUUCGGCGCUCGCCCGCUGCCCGACACGAAGACUGGCCCCCGCUGCUUGGUGGCCCGAAGACCAGUGCCCGCCCUUCCCCGGUGUGGGACGGGGCGCGACGAGCGUUGGACCAGCGAAGCGCCGAGUUCCCGAGGUCGUUGUACCCCCUCCACGCAGGGGGAGGGGCCCUGUGCGCCACCAAUGGAUGAAAAGGACCGCCACAAAGGAGGAAUGACCUCCCCCAUCUGCCGGCCCUCAUACCGUGACUCUAGGUUAGGCGGGGCCACUGGCUGAGUUUAAGCAUAUCAAUAAGCAGAGGAAAAGAAACUUAUGAGGAUUGCCCUAGUAAUGGCGAGCGAACCAGGAAGAGCCCAGCUUUAGAAUCAGGCGGUAACACAGCCCGAAUUGUAGUCUGUAGAAGCGUCCUCAGCUACGAACCAGGCCCAAGUCCCCUGGAAAAUGGUGCCGAAGAGGGUGAGAACCCCGUAUGUGAUAAUUUGGUCUUCAUUUUACUCGUUUGCUGGUUGAAUAUCUUAGUCAUUUUGAUUGUUUCUUCAUUUUAUUUUGUUUGAGGCUUUUGCCUAGUUUUUGGAGUUGUUUGGAGAGUGUUUGAGGGUGUUUUGGAGUGAUUUUAGGGUGCGUGGGCUGUACGCAGCCCGCACAAACUUGUGCCGCCUGUGCACAGGCCACACAACACCUCCUGCGAGCGGUGCGGCCUCCUGUGCAGGCCGCACAGGUGGCCGCACACCCUAGGCAGAGGAGUGUGCGGCUUGGUGUGUAGGUCACACACCAGCUCGCACACCCUUCUACCUAGGGUGGGCAGGAACUGCGCAGCCCACACACCGUCAUAUUUGCCUUAUAAAAACCUUAUUUUGGCUUCUUUUCUUCAUAUUUCUUCUCCCAAACCCUCCUAAUUCCUUCUCCUCUCUUCCUCCAUCAUUUCAUUAGGUUUUAAAGUUGUUUUAGAUGAGAUUUUUCUUCUUGAUUCUUGGAUCGUUGAGUUGCUCAUUCAUUGGAUAAAGGUAAGUUCCAUCCUAUUUCAUGCUUCUUCUUUGUUCUUUGAUGGAGAUGGUUAGAGUUGGUUUUGAACCCUUAUGAGAGCAUGAUUUUUUCUCUUUUCUUUCCUCUUUGACGGCAAAUCCUGUGAGGAUUAAUUGUCUUGAAGUGUAUGGCUUGAUUUAGUGAAAUCCUUGAACCCUCUUCACAUUGAUCCCGGAAUUGCUGUAGCACCAACCGAAGUUAGGUCAUUCUUGCUUUCCUUGUUGGUUUUAAGAGUUGUGAGAGAUCUUUAUCUUCUUAGAACUUCUUGUUAUGGUGUUUAUCAAACCCUAGAAGCAACCAUUCAGCAUUUUGUGCAUUUUUCUUUCAUUUUAGUUAAUCAAGUGUUUGAUGGUAUAUGGUUGCUUGUUUUGGUUGUUUAAAUGCUUCUAGGAGGGCGCGGUGGGCGUCGUGAAGCCCGGGGCACUAGCCCUGCUGGAGUGGCUGUUGAUGUGGAUCUUUGUGGUAGUAGCAAAUAUUCAAAUGAGAACUUUAAAGGCAAAGAUGGGAAUGAUUCCAUGUGAACGACACUUGCACAUCGGUUAGCUGAUCCCAAGGGAUAGGGGAGGCCUGUCAGAGAGUGCGUCUGCACGCGAGCUCUGAAAGGGAAUCAGGUUAAAAUUCUAGAGCCGGGACGUGGUGGCUGACGGCGACGUUAGGGAGCCCGGAGACACCGGCGGGGCCCGGGGCAGAGUUGUCAUUUCUGGUUAACGGCCCGCCUACCUUAGAAACGGCUCAGCCGGAGUUAGGGUCUAACGGCCAAAAGGGAACUGCACGUCGCAUGGUGUCCGGUGCACCACCAGUGGCCCGUGAAAAUUCAGAGGACCGAUGUUGAUGAAACAAUGGUUGUCCCGGCCAUGAACCCGUCGCCUGUUGGCAUAAUGCUCGAGCUGCAUCCAUGGCGACAGUGGGCCGCCAUGUGUCGACCGGAGGACGGACUGGUAAAGGCCUGCACGCCACUUCAACGGAGCGGGGUCCUUCCCCGGUCAUCAUUGCGAUGGUUCUCGCGGAUGCUUAGGCAAUGUGAUUUCUGCCCAGUGCUCUAAAUGUCAAAGUGAAGAAAUUCAACCAAGCACGGGUAAAUGGCGGGAGUAACUAUGACUCUCUUAAGUUAGCCAAAUGACACAUCAUCUAAUUAGUGACGUGCAUGCAUGGAAUAAUAAGAUUCCCAUUGUCCCUGUCUACUAUCCAGCGAAAUCACAACCAAGGAAACGGGCUUAGCUGAAUCAGCGGGGAAAGAAGGCCCUAUUGAGCUUGACUCUAGUCCUACUUUGUGAAAUGAAUUGAGAGAUGUAGGAUAAGUUGGAGCUCUUGGGCGAAAGUGAAAUACCACUACUUGUAAUGUUAUUUUCGUUAUUCCAUGGACUGGAGAUAGGGCUCUGCCCCUCCUUUUGGCUCCAAGGCUGUGCCCCGCGCACUGCUGAUCCAGGUUAAAGACAUUUCAGGUGGGGAGUUUGGUUGGGGUGGCACAUCUGCUAAAAGAUAACGGAAGUGUCCUAAGAUGAGCUCAACGAGAGAAGAAAUCUCUUAUAUAGAACAAAAGGUUAAAAGCUCGUUUGAUUUUGUUUUCCGGUAUGAAUACAAACCGUGAAAGCAUGGCCUAUCGAUUUUUUAGCCCUUUGGGAUUUAAAGCUAGAGGUGUCAAAAAUGUUACCACAAGGAUAACUGGCUUAUGGCAGCCAAGCGUUCAUACCAACAUUGCUUUUUGAUUCUUCGAUGUCGGCUAUUACUAUCAUUGUGAAGUAGAAUUUACCAAGUGUUGGAUUAUUCACCCACGAAUAGGGAACAUAAGCUGGAUUUAGACCGUCGUCAGACAAGUUAGUUUUAUCCUACUGAUGACCACGCCGCUGAUUAGUGCUCCUGCUAUAGUAAUGCGAGGUGUUAUUAUCUUACAAUGAUCAUUGA
rnacentral:rRNA from 1 species